AACGCGAAGAACCUUACCUAGACUUGACAUCUCCUGCAUUACUCUUAAUCGAGGAAGUCCCUUCGAGGACAGGAUGACAGGUGGUGCAUGGUUGUCGUCAGCUCGUGUCGUGAGAUGUUGGGUUAAGUCCCGCAACGAGCGCAACCCUUAUUGUUAGUUGCCAUCAUUAAGUUGGGCACUCUAGCGAGACUGCCCGGGUUAACCGGGAGGAAGGUGGGGAUGACGUCAAAUCAUCAUGCCCCUUAUGUCUAGGGCUACACACGUGCUACAAUGGUCGGUACAAUAAGACGCAAGCCCGCGAGGGGGAGCAAAACUGGAAAACCGAUCUCAGUUCGGAUUGUAGGCUGAAACUCGCCUACAUGAAGCUGGAGUUGCUAGUAAUCGCGAAUCAGCAUGUCGCGGUGAAUACGUUCCCGGGUCUUGUACACACCG
rnacentral:rRNA from 1 species